UUAAUCUUCUCUGUGUGACUAAUGUCUUUCAAGUCUUUUAACUUCCCAAACAUUAAUAGAUCAUGUGAUUAUUGUAUUUAAGGCUUGGUUUGAUGCAGAACCUUUAAGUAAGGAAAAUUAGGUGAUAUAACCAAACAAAAACUCAUAAUCUAAUAACAUAAAGAAGAAGGGGAUUGAUUCUCUUCUCCUCUUGCCAGCGCAACAAACAGAGGAAGGAUACGCCGACACCUGUCCCAUCUCUUUAUACUCUGCGUUCCAAUCCUCUUCAGUCAUAAGCUUCUAAAAGAAUCAACGGAAAAUAAGCUUCUAAAAAAAAUCCACAGAAAAUUGCCAACUUUGCUGUCAUCCUCGCAGAUUUAAAGGCUAGCCGUUGUAUCUCCUCCGUCGAGGCUCGAAUCCCUCUUGCGACGAUCAUUGAAUCCUGUCACAACCUCCCUCCUGUGAUGAUCAUUAAAUCCCGCUGUAACCUCCAUCUUGCGUAAGAUCUCUGUCUAUGUUCAUUAUAAUUCAUAUAUUUUUAAAACUUUUAUCAUUUUCUCAUGAUCCCAUUUAGUUGUGUGGCCUGAGAAAUUAUGCUUAUAUGAGUUGUUCAAUAGAUGCUCGCCAAUAGCUUCGUCACUGGAACGAUUGCAGAAGCAUCUGAAAAAAUAACACAGGCUUAUAAGCAUAGAAACAAGGUUAUUGUAUGUUUCUUUAACUCUUCGACUAUGUUAUAUACUGAACCAUAUUCAAUUUGAAAGGGCUGACUUUUCUAAAACAUAUAUCUGGAACUUGUGUGUUGGUACAUGCUGAGCAUGCUCUUGACCCCUCACUUGCUAGGGUUAUCUGUUUAAAUACAGAAAACCUAUUUCUUUCUCUUAUUUGUGGACACUUUAAUCCAAAUUGAUUUGGUUGAUGUAUUGUCUCUUACUGUGUUAUUAAGGUUUAAUAUGAGAUGAAUAAUGGAUCGGUGAGUUUAGCCCGAGCUCUAUAUUUCUCUCCUCACGUUAAGUUUUUUUUUUAACAGGGGCACUUGAGUAUGAGAUGCGUGAUGCUCAUAUAGCUAUCCAAGCCAGAUUGAUUAGCCAAGCUUUGAUAAGCUGAGCCACUCUUUCUAUAACCCUUAUCAUCUUUAUAAAUCAGACAUGCUAUUCUCUGUUCGGGAGACUUCAUUGUGGCCAGGUGUGAGGAACCAGUUAAUGGGGGAGGUUGACUCAGUCAUUGCAAUUUAGGAUGCUGAGGUUCUGAUAUUUAAGGCACAUGUUUUACAUUUCGUUACACCAGAGAUUUGGUCGUGCUAAAUCACUCUCCCUCGAAAUGACAGACUCAUAUAAAUAAUAUAUAUAAAAAACGUUUGAUGCAGGCUUCCAGUUCCUCUCCUAAUAACAUAAAGAAGAAGGGGAUUGAUUCUCUUCUCCUCUUGCCAGCGCAACAAACAGAGGAAGGAUACGCCGACACCUGUCCCAUCUCUUUAUACUCUGCGUUUCAUUAACGUAAUCAGCGACUCGUGUGUUUUUUUUGUUGUUGUUGUGGGCUUUGACUCAAAGAAUCUAGCCCGAUAGCGAGAAACCCUAAUCCUCUCAUUCUAGAGUUCAUCCGAUCUUUCUUCUCAGCCAUCGAUAGAUUUAGAUUUUUAAUUUGACGUGAUGAAUCUCUUCGAUCGCGUCGUUUGAUCUUCAUUUUCGUCAACCAAAACGUCUCAGUUAAAUAUUCAUCGCUCUAAACCCUUUAUCUCCAUCAACCACGAUCUAGACUUCAAAGUGAUUUUCUCCUUUGCAAGGUGGUGUAAAUGAGUAUAAAUAGGCUAGCCUUCCUCCUCUCAAAACCAUCCUCUCAAUCUGGUUAAACAGCGAAGUAAACUUGUUCGUCUUUCUGAUUUGAAGUCCGGUAGGUGUUCUUCCACUAUUCAGGUUACCUUGCUGCGAUUCUAUGGGCCCAGGAAUGUCAAACGCGGUGGUACGUCCUCUCCCACGAAAAUCAUCUAUCCAAUCCUCUUCAGUCAUAAGCUUCUAAAAGAAUCAACGGAAAAUAAGCUUCUAAAAAAAAUCCACAGAAAAUUGCCAACUUUGCUGUCAUCCUCGCAGAUUUAAAGGCUAGCCGUUGUAUCUCCUCCGUCGAGGCUCGAAUCCCUCUUGCGACGAUCAUUGAAUCCUGUCACAACCUCCCUCCUGUGAUGAUCAUUAAAUCCCGCUGUAACCUCCAUCUUGCGUAAGAUCUCUGUCUAUGUUCAUUAUAAUUCAUAUAUUUUUAAAACUUUUAUCAUUUUCUCAUGAUCCCAUUUAGUUGUGUGGCCUGAGAAAUUAUGCUUAUAUGAGUUGUUCAAUAGAUGCUCGCCAAUAGCUUCGUCACUGGAACGAUUGCAGAAGCAUCUGAAAAAAUAACACAGGCUUAUAAGCAUAGAAACAAGGUUAUUGUAUGUUUCUUUAACUCUUCGACUAUGUUAUAUACUGAACCAUAUUCAAUUUGAAAGGGCUGACUUUUCUAAAACAUAUAUCUGGAACUUGUGUGUUGGUACAUGCUGAGCAUGCUCUUGACCCCUCACUUGCUAGGGUUAUCUGUUUAAAUACAGAAAACCUAUUUCUUUCUCUUAUUUGUGGACACUUUAAUCCAAAUUGAUUUGGUUGAUGUAUUGUCUCUUACUGUGUUAUUAAGGUUUAAUAUGAGAUGAAUAAUGGAUCGGUGAGUUUAGCCCGAGCUCUAUAUUUCUCUCCUCACGUUAAGUUUUUUUUUUAACAGGGGCACUUGAGUAUGAGAUGCGUGAUGCUCAUAUAGCUAUCCAAGCCAGAUUGAUUAGCCAAGAUUUGAUAAGCUGAGCCACUCUUUCUAUAACCCUUAUCAUCUUUAUAAAUCAGGUAUUGAACUUCUUUAUGUAAUAUUUAAAGAACUAUGUUAGUUUCAAGAGUUUGGCAUAUUUUAUGAUCGCUCCCCCAUUGUGUUAUCAUGUAGUCUGAUGCGUCCUGCUAAUAGUAUCAAACAUUCUUUCAAUUUCAAAUGUCUUUUUUGUCUAAAGCCUUUAGUCUUUGAUUUUCAGACAUGCUAUUCUCUGUUCGGGAGACUUCAUUGUGGCCAGGUGUGAGGAACCAGUUAAUGGGGGAGGUUGACUCAGUCAUUGCAAUUUAGGAUGCUGAGGUUCUGAUAUUUAAGGCACAUGUUUUACAUUUCGUUACACCAGAGAUUUGGUCGUGCUAAAUCACUCUCCCUCGAAAUGACAGACUCAUAUAAAUAAUAUAUAUAAAAAACGUUUGAUGCAGGCUUCCAGUUCCUCUCCUAAUAACAUAAAGAAGAAGGGGAUUGAUUCUCUUCUCCUCUUGCCAGCGCAACAAACAGAGGAAGGAUACGCCGACACCUGUCCCAUCUCUUUAUACUCUGCGUUUCAUUAACGUAAUCAGCGACUCGUGUGUUUUUUUUGUUGUUGUUGUGGGCUUUGACUCAAAGAAUCUAGCCCGAUAGCGAGAAACCCUAAUCCUCUCAUUCUAGAGUUCAUCCGAUCUUUCUUCUCAGCCAUCGAUAGAUUUAGAUUUUUAAUUUGACGUGAUGAAUCUCUUCGAUCGCGUCGUUUGAUCUUCAUUUUCGUCAACCAAAACGUCUCAGUUAAAUAUUCAUCGCUCUAAACCCUUUAUCUCCAUCAACCACGAUCUAGACUUCAAAGUGAUUUUCUCCUUUGCAAGGUGGUGUAAAUGAGUAUAAAUAGGCUAGCCUUCCUCCUCUCAAAACCAUCCUCUCAAUCUGGUUAAACAGCGAAGUAAACUUGUUCGUCUUUCUGAUUUGAAGUCCGGUAGGUGUUCUUCCACUAUUCAGGUUACCUUGCUGCGAUUCUAUGGGCCCAGGAAUGUCAAACGCGGUGGUACGUCCUCUCCCACGAAAAUCAUCUAUCCAAUCCUCUUCAGUCAUAAGCUUCUAAAAGAAUCAACGGAAAAUAAGCUUCUAAAAAAAAUCCACAGAAAAUUGCCAACUUUGCUGUCAUCCUCGCAGAUUUAAAGGCUAGCCGUUGUAUCUCCUCCGUCGAGGCUCGAAUCCCUCUUGCGACGAUCAUUGAAUCCUGUCACAACCUCCCUCCUGUGAUGAUCAUUAAAUCCCGCUGUAACCUCCAUCUUGCGUAAGAUCUCUGUCUAUGUUCAUUAUAAUUCAUAUAUUUUUAAAACUUUUAUCAUUUUCUCAUGAUCCCAUUUAGUUGUGUGGCCUGAGAAAUUAUGCUUAUAUGAGUUGUUCAAUAGAUGCUCGCCAAUAGCUUCGUCACUGGAACGAUUGCAGAAGCAUCUGAAAAAAUAACACAGGCUUAUAAGCAUAGAAACAAGGUUAUUGUAUGUUUCUUUAACUCUUCGACUAUGUUAUAUACUGAACCAUAUUCAAUUUGAAAGGGCUGACUUUUCUAAAACAUAUAUCUGGAACUUGUGUGUUGGUACAUGCUGAGCAUGCUCUUGACCCCUCACUUGCUAGGGUUAUCUGUUUAAAUACAGAAAACCUAUUUCUUUCUCUUAUUUGUGGACACUUUAAUCCAAAUUGAUUUGGUUGAUGUAUUGUCUCUUACUGUGUUAUUAAGGUUUAAUAUGAGAUGAAUAAUGGAUCGGUGAGUUUAGCCCGAGCUCUAUAUUUCUCUCCUCACGUUAAGUUUUUUUUUAACAGGGGCACUUGAGUAUGAGAUGCGUGAUGCUCAUAUAGCUAUCCAAGCCAGAUUGAUUAGCCAAGCUUUGAUAAGCUGAGCCACUCUUUCUAUAACCCUUAUCAUCUUUAUAAAUCAGGUAUUGAACUUCUUUAUGUAAUAUUUAAAGAACUAUGUUAGUUUCAAGAGUUUGGCAUAUUUUAUGAUCGCUCCCCCAUUGUGUUAUCAUGUAGUCUGAUGCGUCCUGCUAAUAGUAUCAAACAUUCUUUCAAUUUCAAAUGUCUUUUUUGUCUAAAGCCUUUAGUCUUUGAUUUUCAGACAUGCUAUUCUCUGUUCGGGAGACUUCAUUGUGGCCAGGUGUGAGGAACCAGUUAAUGGGGGAGGUUGACUCAGUCAUUGCAAUUUAGGAUGCUGAGGUUCUGAUAUUUAAGGCACAUGUUUUACAUUUCGUUACACCAGAGAUUUGGUCGUGCUAAAUCACUCUCCCUCGAAAUGACAGACUCAUAUAAAUAAUAUAUAUAAAAAACGUUUGAUGCAGGCUUCCAGUUCCUCUCCUAAUAACAUAAAGAAGAAGGGGAUUGAUUCUCUUCUCCUCUUGCCAGCGCAACAAACAGAGGAAGGAUACGCCGACACCUGUCCCAUCUCUUUAUACUCUGCGUUUCAUUAACGUAAUCAGCGACUCGUGUGUUUUUUUUGUUGUUGUUGUGGGCUUUGACUCAAAGAAUCUAGCCCGAUAGCGAGAAACCCUAAUCCUCUCAUUCUAGAGUUCAUCCGAUCUUUCUUCUCAGCCAUCGAUAGAUUUAGAUUUUUAAUUUGACGUGAUGAAUCUCUUCGAUCGCGUCGUUUGAUCUUCAUUUUCGUCAACCAAAACGUCUCAGUUAAAUAUUCAUCGCUCUAAACCCUUUAUCUCCAUCAACCACGAUCUAGACUUCAAAGUGAUUUUCUCCUUUGCAAGGUGGUGUAAAUGAGUAUAAAUAGGCUAGCCUUCCUCCUCUCAAAACCAUCCUCUCAAUCUGGUUAAACAGCGAAGUAAACUUGUUCGUCUUUCUGAUUUGAAGUCCGGUAGGUGUUCUUCCACUAUUCAGGUUACCUUGCUGCGAUUCUAUGGGCCCAGGAAUGUCAAACGCGGUGGUACGUCCUCUCCCACGAAAAUCAUCUAUCCAAUCCUCUUCAGUCAUAAGCUUCUAAAAGAAUCAACGGAAAAUAAGCUUCUAAAAAAAAUCCACAGAAAAUUGCCAACUUUGCUGUCAUCCUCGCAGAUUUAAAGGCUAGCCGUUGUAUCUCCUCCGUCGAGGCUCGAAUCCCUCUUGCGACGAUCAUUGAAUCCUGUCACAACCUCCCUCCUGUGAUGAUCAUUAAAUCCCGCUGUAACCUCCAUCUUGCGUAAGAUCUCUGUCUAUGUUCAUUAUAAUUCAUAUAUUUUUAAAACUUUUAUCAUUUUCUCAUGAUCCCAUUUAGUUGUGUGGCCGGAGAAAUUAUGCUUAUAUGAGUUGUUCAAUAGAUGCUCGCCAAUAGCUUCGUCACUGGAACGAUUGCAGAAGCAUCUGAAAAAAUAACACAGGCUUAUAAGCAUAGAAACAAGGUUAUUGUAUGUUUCUUUAACUCUUCGACUAUGUUAUAUACUGAACCAUAUUCAAUUUGAAAGGGCUGACUUUUCUAAAACAUAUAUCUGGAACUUGUGUGUUGGUACAUGCUGAGCAUGCUCUUGACCCCUCACUUGCUAGGGUUAUCUGUUUAAAUACAGAAAACCUAUUUCUUUCUCUUAUUUGUGGACACUUUAAUCCAAAUUGAUUUGGUUGAUGUAUUGUCUCUUACUGUGUUAUUAAGGUUUAAUAUGAGAUGAAUAAUGGAUCGGUGAGUUUAGCCCGAGCUCUAUAUUUCUCUCCUCACGUUAAGUUUUUUUUUUAACAGGGGCACUUGAGUAUGAGAUGCGUGAUGCUCAUAUAGCUAUCCAAGCCAGAUUGAUUAGCCAAGCUUUGAUAAGCUGAGCCACUCUUUCUAUAACCCUUAUCAUCUUUAUAAAUCAGGUAUUGAACUUCUUUAUGUAAUAUUUAAAGAACUAUGUUAGUUUCAAGAGUUUGGCAUAUUUUAUGAUCGCUCCCCCAUUGUGUUAUCAUGUAGUCUGAUGCGUCCUGCUAAUAGUAUCAAACAUUCUUUCAAUUUCAAAUGUCUUUUUUGUCUAAAGCCUUUAGUCUUUGAUUUUCAGACAUGCUAUUCUCUGUUUGGGAGACUUCAUUGUGGCCAGGUGUGAGGAACCAGUUAAUGGGGGAGGUUGACUCAGUCAUUGCAAUUUAGGAUGCUGAGGUUCUGAUAUUUAAGGCACAUGUUUUACAUUUCGUUACACCAGAGAUUUGGUCGUGCUAAAUCACUCUCCCUCGAAAUGACAGACUCAUAUAAAUAAUAUAUAUAAAAAACGUUUGAUGCAGGCUUCCAGUUCCUCUCCUAAUAACAUAAAGAAGAAGGGGAUUGAUUCUCUUCUCCUCUUGCCAGCGCAACAAACAGAGGAAGGAUACGCCGACACCUGUCCCAUCUCUUUAUACUCUGCGUUUCAUUAACGUAAUCAGCGACUCGUGUGUUUUUUUUGUUGUUGUUGUGGGCUUUGACUCAAAGAAUCUAGCCCGAUAGCGAGAAACCCUAAUCCUCUCAUUCUAGAGUUCAUCCGAUCUUUCUUCUCAGCCAUCGAUAGAUUUAGAUUUUUAAUUUGACGUGAUGAAUCUCUUCGAUCGCGUCGUUUGAUCUUCAUUUUCGUCAACCAAAACGUCUCAGUUAAAUAUUCAUCGCUCUAAACCCUUUAUCUCCAUCAACCACGAUCUAGACUUCAAAGUGAUUUUCUCCUUUGCAAGGUGGUGUAAAUGAGUAUAAAUAGGCUAGCCUUCCUCCUCUCAAAACCAUCCUCUCAAUCUGGUUAAACAGCGAAGUAAACUUGUUCGUCUUUCUGAUUUGAAGUCCGGUAGGUGUUCUUCCACUAUUCAGGUUACCUUGCUGCGAUUCUAUGGGCCCAGGAAUGUCAAACGCGGUGGUACGUCCUCUCCCACGAAAAUCAUCUAUCCAAUCCUCUUCAGUCAUAAGCUUCUAAAAGAAUCAACGGAAAAUAAGCUUCUAAAAAAAAUCCACAGAAAAUUGCCAACUUUGCUGUCAUCCUCGCAGAUUUAAAGGCUAGCCGUUGUAUCUCCUCCGUCGAGGCUCGAAUCCCUCUUGCGACGAUCAUUGAAUCCUGUCACAACCUCCCUCCUGUGAUGAUCAUUAAAUCCCGCUGUAACCUCCAUCUUGCGUAAGAUCUCUGUCUAUGUUCAUUAUAAUUCAUAUAUUUUUAAAACUUUUAUCAUUUUCUCAUGAUCCCAUUUAGUUGUGUGGCCUGAGAAAUUAUGCUUAUAUGAGUUGUUCAAUAGAUGCUCGCCAAUAGCUUCGUCACUGGAACGAUUGCAGAAGCAUCUGAAAAAAUAACACAGGCUUAUAAGCAUAGAAACAAGGUUAUUGUAUGUUUCUUUAACUCUUCGACUAUGUUAUAUACUGAACCAUAUUCAAUUUGAAAGGGCUGACUUUUCUAAAACAUAUAUCUGGAACUUGUGUGUUGGUACAUGCUGAGCAUGCUCUUGACCCCUCACUUGCUAGGGUUAUCUGUUUAAAUACAGAAAACCUAUUUCUUUCUCUUAUUUGUGGACACUUUAAUCCAAAUUGAUUUGGUUGAUGUAUUGUCUCUUACUGUGUUAUUAAGGUUUAAUAUGAGAUGAAUAAUGGAUCGGUGAGUUUAGCCCGAGCUCUAUAUUUCUCUCCUCACGUUAAGUUUUUUUUUUAACAGGGGCACUUGAGUAUGAGAUGCGUGAUGCUCAUAUAGCUAUCCAAGCCAGAUUGAUUAGCCAAGCUUUGAUAAGCUGAGCCACUCUUUCUAUAACCCUUAUCAUCUUUAUAAAUCAGGUAUUGAACUUCUUUAUGUAAUAUUUAAAGAAUUAUGUUAGUUUCAAGAGUUUGGCAUAUUUUAUGAUCGCUCCCCCAUUGUGUUAUCAUGUAGUCUGAUGCGUCCUGCUAAUAGUAUCAAACAUUCUUUCAAUUUCAAAUGUCUUUUUUGUCUAAAGCCUUUAGUCUUUGAUUUUCAGACAUGCUAUUCUCUGUUCGGGAGACUUCAUUGUGGCCAGGUGUGAGGAACCAGUUAAUGGGGGAGGUUGACUCAGUCAUUGCAAUUUAGGAUGCUGAGGUUCUGAUAUUUAAGGCACAUGUUUUACAUUUCGUUACACCAGAGAUUUGGUCGUGCUAAAUCACUCUCCCUCGAAAUGACAGACUCAUAUAAAUAAUAUAUAUAAAAAACGUUUGAUGCAGGCUUCCAGUUCCUAACACCCGGAAACAAUGACGCUUUGUUGUACUCUACAUCUGAAGAUCAUGUAUUACUAUUCCUUAUUGCUGCACGGAAUCUUAUUACCUUUUUGUUUGUUCUCAAUGAUAUUGGACAGGUUAGUUAGUGUCGA